rnacentral:rRNA from 1 species
AUUGAACGCUGGCGGCGUGCUUAACACAUGCAAGUCGAUCGGUAACGCGGGGGCAACCCUGGCGACGAGAGGCGGUCGGGUGAGGAACGCUUGGGAAUCUGCCUAUCAGCGGGGGACAACCCGGGGAAACUCGGGCUAAUACCGCAUACGCUCUACGGAGGAAAGCCGGGGACCGCAAGGCCUGGCACUGAUAGAUGAGCCCAAGUCGGAUUAGCUAGUUGGCGGGGUAACGGCCCACCAAGGCGACGAUCCGUAGCUGGUCUGAGAGGACGAUCAGCCACACUGGGACUGAGACACGGCCCAGACUCCUACGGGAGGCAGCAGUGGGGAAUAUUGGACAAUGGGGGAAACCCUGAUCCAGCGACACCGCGUGGGUGAAGAAGGCCUGCGGGUUGUAAAGCCCUUUCGGUAGGGACGAAAGCUCUCGACCUAACACGUCGGGAGGUUGACUUAACCUACAAAAGAAGCACCGGCUAACUCUGUGCCAGCCGCCGCAGUAAUAC